rnacentral:tRNA from 1 species
GGGCCCGUAGCUUAGCCUGGACCACUCCCUGACACUGUGUUAGGAGUGAGGGCAAUGGAGCGCUCGACUGAUAAUCGAGAGGUCUCGUGUUCGAAUCACGACGGGCCCA